UGGCGUGGGCGGGCUGCAGCGGCGGGAACGACCCUGCCCGCACCGGCACCGACGCACUACGUGCCAUCUGGCGUGAGCAUGCCCGCCGCACACACCACCGCCACCACUACCACUCACGCACCGCGUCGCCAGGGAUGGGUUUCGGCGGCCUGUGCGCCCAGUGCCACCGUCGUCCCGACAGUGGUGAAUCGUGCGUGGCGUCCGCAUCGGUCCGUCCGGGUUUGGGUCGUCGCGCGCCGCGGUCGUCGUCUGCGAACUCACGCCGCACAUGCUGCUGCCGGACGCCGGUGCCGAGGACGACGACGACGAUGAAAAAACAUUCCAAGCAGCUUGAGAAGCGCAUCGACGACCAACGACAGCUGCUGCUGCAGCAGCGGUUACCGGGGGCGGCCGCCGACAAGCGGAGACCGUCGUUGUCGUCGUCGAAAUGCAAGAACGGCAUACUGAAAAACGAGUCCAGUCCCGAACUGUCGCGGCCCGCUUCCCGCAAAUCCAGACAGUACUUCUUGGAACCCAUCCGUCGGUGGAAUUCGUUCCACAACAGUCGCGAACGCAAGACCAACACCGCCGUGGCUGCUAGCACAGCCACCCCCGCCUCGCCGUCGUCGUCUUCCACUAACAACCUGCCGUACCUGCAGACCUUGGUCAACCUGCAGCGGGAGUCUAAGAGCGCUUGUGCCCGAUUCGCACAGUCCGUGUUGCCCAAAACGCCACGGGGAGCCGAAAGCGCGCCAGUCCUCAUCGGCGGGGCCUCUUCUAACUCCGUCUCUGCCACCUCCGAUGAUGGCCAGUCGCCGAAAUUGCUCCAGCAGACAAGCGUCGGAUGCCCGGCCAAAAAACAAAACUCCAGCCCGAACCUGUUGUUGGUAUACGACCGCCGGCAGCAGGGUGUCGCGGGAGUUAAUAUUGGUGGCGGCAACAGCCUGACGAAUUCACCCCGUCGGUCAGCCAGGAGGCCGAAAACGCCUCCGCCGCACCCUCACCACAGCCAACAACAACAACAACAACAACAGCUAGCGGCGGCGGUGGCUAAUAGCAGUAGUGCCGGCGGUGUGGGGUUGGACGCCACCGGUUCUUCGAAAAUACCGUUCGCCAUAAUGGUGGGUGACACGCCGGUCGUGUGCCAAGACACCGUGCCCAGAAUCAAGGCAAUCCGCGCCGAUUCGGUGACGGAGAAAUCGUCGUAUCUGGCUGUCGACUUGUCUCCGCACCGUCGAUACUCGUUUUGUUUUGGAAAACGAACCGGAAGCAACGCUAGACGACCCAACGAAUGUUUCGUGUUGGAACCAUCAGAGAUGCUGGUGAUGGAUUAUGCGGACUCUCAAAGCGGUCUGCGCUCGUUGAAUAUCCCCCGGCACACCGGCAUGGAACGUGGUGGGGCGAUCAACCUCGUAUUCGACGACAGCUAUAUUGCUGCGAUCCGGCCUGAACUAUACCAGAAAAGCAAUCGGAGUUCGCACAGCUCGGAUACCAGUUCGGCGUAUUCGGGCAGCGACACCAUGACCAGCGUGCAUUCGGGGAGCGUUUCUGUGGAGGCGGACGAGGUGGACCUGUCGGGACUUGUCGAGUCGAUCGUGGACUCGGACGAAGACGACCUGGGUGACAGCAGCGAGAGCCUCACCGUCCGGGACACGGUCCGGGAGUGCCUGGAGAAGGACCCGUCGGAGCGGGCCGAGGACGAUGUCGAGGUGCUGCUCGAGUUCACCCAGCACUUGAAGGCGUUCACCAACAUGACGCUGGCCGUGCGCCGGGCGCUGUGUAGCGUCAUGGUGUUCGCAGUCGUCGAGAAGGCCGGCACUGUGGUGAUGAAUGACGGUGAAGAGCUGGACUCAUGGAGUGUGCUGAUCAACGGCCACGUCGAGGUCGAGCACGCCGACGGCAUUCCCGAUCAGCUGCACAUGGGCGACAGCUUCGGCAUAGUGCCUACCAUGGAGCGGCUGUACCACAGGGGCGUGAUGAGAACUAAGUGCGACGACUGUCAGUUCGUUUGCAUCACGCAGACGGACUACUAUAGAAUACUCCACCAGGGCGAGGAGAACACCAAAAGACACGAAGACGACGGAGGCAAAUUGGUCAUGGUCACCGAACAAAGGGGUACGCUGGAAGCCGGCAGACGGGGUCACGUAGUCAUAAGGGGUACACCGGAGAGACUGAUGCUUCAACUGAUCGAAGAAAAUUCGGUUAUAGAUCCGACCUAUGUGGAAGAUUUUCUUUUAACGCAUCGGACUUUCAUUAAAAACUCGAUGGAAGUUGCCAACCAACUGUUAAAUUGGUUUAAUGAACCGUCUGCGAGAGACCGUGUUACUAGAGUGGUGCUACUGUGGGUCAACAAUCAUUUUACCGAUUUCGAAAUGGAUCCAGUGAUGAUGGACUUUGUAGAAAAGUUUGAAGCGUGCCUGGAAGAGAAUAAAAUGGGCGGACAAUUGAGAUUGUUAAACAUUGCUUGUGCUGCAAAGGCAAGAACUAGGUGCGUAACUCUAGCCAGACCGUCUAGAGAUCAGGUGCUACAUUUUUCCAUUUUGGGAGGAUAUGAGAGAGGAUUUGGAAUAUUUAUUUCAAAAGUCGAUAAAAAAUCGAAAGCUGAAGAGGUCGGUCUGAAACGAGGUGACCAAAUUUUAGAAGUUAAUGGACAAAGCUUUGAACAUGUAACCCAUACGCGUGCUUUAGAGAUCCUUCGAGGAACUACGCAUUUGAGUAUUACUGUCAAAUCUAAUCUUUUAGUGUUCAAAGAAAUGCUUGCAACUCCUGACAACUCACCUCGACCAAGAGGUCGACAAAAACCGUCUGUGGAAAUCGCUCGUCUUCAAGACGAUCCACGAGCACGGCCGUUGCUCACUGCUCAUCUUCCUCCUCCUAUCCAACAACCUAUUAAAACAAACGCAUCCAACACAUCAAGUGGCGGAGGUUUUAUGACUCUCGGCCCCAAGAAACGUCUUCAGCGGGCUCUGAUGAAAAUGAAUAUUUUACCAAAAAAUAUUAUUGGCGACGUGUAUGAUGAUAGUUCGGUGUCUGCUAAAUCUGACUCUAGCUCAAAUUUUAAACAGUCACAUAGCCACCCGGACUUGACUUCAAUAUCAUAUCUGGACGAUACAAGGGUAGCAGCAGAUUAUCCAGAACACGUAUUAAAAGUUUAUAAGCCUGAUCAGACUUGCAAAUACCUAUUGGUGCAUAAAGAAACUACAGCUCAUGAAGUUGUCAUGCUUGCAUUACAAGAAUUUGGAAUCACAGAACCGAGUUCCCUUUAUUCAUUAUGUGAAGUUUCAGUGUCAGAAGGAGGUAUAAUUAAACAAAGGAGGUUGCCAGACCAACUACAAAAUUUAGCAGAACGAAUUGGGCUUAGUAGUAGAUAUUACUUAAAAAAUGUCAGUAAUACUGAAACAUUAGUUGGAGAUGAACUUGCAGCUGAUUUAAUAAGGGAAAGUCAUGUACAUUUUUUGCAACUGAACGCUGUUGAAGUGGCGGUACAACUAACACUACAAGACUUUUCAAUAUUCAGGCAAAUUGAAGCUACAGAAUAUGUUGACGACCUUUUUCAAUUAGACAGUCGUUAUGGAACACCAAUGCUAUCCAAAUUUGCUGAAUUGGUGAAUACAGAAAUGUUUUGGGUUGUAACGGAAAUUUGCUCUGAACACAACCUUAUAAGACGGUCGAAAAUGAUCAAACAAUUUAUAAAAGUAGCACGUCAAUGUAAGGAAUGUAAAAAUUUUAAUUCUAUGUUUGCCAUCAUUUCCGGACUUGGACAUGGAGCUGUUAGCCGUUUACGCCAAUCGUGGGAAAAACUACCCACAAAAUAUCAAAGAUUAUUUAGUGAUCUUCAAGAUUUAAUGGACCCUUCACGAAACAUGAGUAAAUAUCGUCAACUAGUCAGCAAUGAACAAUCUCAACCCCCAAUUAUACCGUUUUAUCCAGUAGUUAAGAAAGAUCUAACGUUUAUUCAUCUUGGUAACGAUACACAUGUAGAAAGUUUAAUUAAUUUUGAAAAAUUAAGAAUGAUUGCCAAAGAAGUUAGAAAUCUAACAAACAUGUGCUCAUCACCUUACGACUUACUAACAAUGUUAGAACUUGGUGGACAACCUACAUCCAAUGCAAUGGUAGCUUUGAAUCAGCUUACUACAGGUGUAAGUGGAAGUGCUCAUCAGGGAGGUGCUGCCACAUUUAAAAGAAGAAAAAAGUCAACUGCUGCCCCAAACCCUAAAAAGAUGUUUGAAGAAUCCCAAAUGGUAAGAAGAGUCAAAGCUUAUCUGGCGAAAAUGAAGGUGCUCACUGAUGAAGAAAAAUUACACGAACUGUCAAUGAGUUGCGAAGGUUCUAGUACUGGUGGGUCUAUAAUGGGAUCUGGACCAAUAAGAAAACGACAUCCAUCACCUACGCUUUCAACAGCUAGUAGUGCUAGUAGUGCCAGUGAAGGAUUGAAAAAUACUGGUCCUAAAUUUGGCUCUGCUUCACCACAAGCUGUACGAAAGUUAUUGUCUUUGAGUGAACCAAGCAAAACGAGACUGCAUCAGCCCAGGUAUCAUAUGGCGCCUUCUCCUGGUCCACCAACUCGUCGCAACGUACACCAACCACCUAGUGUUCCAGCAACGUCUCAUGAACGUUCUCACUCAGACACAACCCCUCUUAACCCACCACCACCUUUACUCUUAUCAUCUGUUGAUCUGAAUGCUGAGAGCAGUAGUGUUACUAGUUUAUCAAACCUCUCACUAAGAAAGACUGUGACAUCCAUUUGUCCUAGCGGGUUCAGUGACAUCCAGCGAUUCAGGACACUCGACACAAACGAGCGGAUCAACAGAUGUUUGCAUGCCUCCAGGAGCAUCGCCUCCACCACCACUCCACUUAAGGAGACAUUCAGUACUUCAACCUCCAGCGAGUUAUCAGAUUGGAAACCGUCCUAUUUAUUCGUCGAACAUGCAAAUGAUGGGAACAUCGACCAACUGUGUGCGGACGAGACCACCACCAGCUUAUAACACGAGUGUUGCCCAAAUGGCAGCUAGGAUGCACCGUUUAGGUAGAGCACAUUCGCAUGAAGGUGUCACAUCAACAUAUUAUCUACGAGAUGAUGGUGAUGAUGAUGAUGACGACGAAGAUGCACAAGUAUCUGCUGUAUGACUAGUCAACCACCCAUGAUGUAAAAAUAAAAAUGGCCAUGAACAUAUCAAAACUAAAAUUGCUUGUAAAAAUUUAAAAAAUAUUAUUUCCAUUAAUUUUUAAGUACAAAUGUAUAAUUUGAAUAUAUUGUGUAUAUUAAGAUGUAUUCAAUGUAAUGGUAUAACGUUAAAGGUUUUUUUAAGGUUCUUCCAAAAUACUUAGUACCUAAUUUUCUUUUUAUCUUUUCUACCAAUUUUUCAAUUUUAAUUCGCGCGGAAUAACAAAUAUGUUAAAAAUAAAUACUGAUCUAGUUAUCAUUUUUAUUUUAUUUUUUUAUGUAUAUAUAUAUAUAGAUAAUAUGUAUCACUGUAUUUGUAAUUACCAUAAUAACGUGUUUUUUUUUUAUUUUGUUAUUUAAUUUUACUGACCAAAAUACAAAUUUCAAUCAUUAUUAUAGAACGUCUAAAUAUUAUAGUGUAAACUUAUCUUUCGAUAUAAGGAUAGAGUUAAUUUAAUUUAAGAGACACCUAUUAUUUACAUAAUAAUAUAAUAUGUAAUGAGUCUAUUGUUUUGGUCGAAAAAGUAUUAUUAUUUUUUACGCAAUUAUAAGUUAACUGGUUUAUCAAUUCGUCUAAACCAAUCACAUUAUGUAAUCUUAAUUAGAUCAUUGAUUUUAUGUUAUGAUUUAUACAUUAUUUUUUUCAUUUGUUUUAAAUUUUAUUCCUAAAUUUUAUAUUGUAUAUCUAACUUUGAAUUUUAAUUUAUGUAUUGUUGCUACUGACUGAGUAUGUGUAAAUCAUUCGUAAAGAUUAUCGUGUUUUUUAAA